UGUGGAGGGUUCGAUUCUGGCUCAGGAUGAACGCUGGCGGCGUGCUUAACACAUGCAAGUCGAACGGGAUCCAUCAGGCUUUGCUUGGUGGUGAGAGUGGCGAACGGGUGAGUAAUGCGUGACCGACCUGCCCCAUACACCGGAAUAGCUCCUGGAAACGGGUGGUAAUGCCGGAUGCUCCGACUCCUCGCAUGGGGUGUCGGGAAAGAUUUCAUCGGUAUGGGAUGGGGUCGCGUCCUAUCAGGUAGUCGGCGGGGUAACGGCCCACCGAGCCUACGACGGGUAGCCGGCCUGAGAGGGCGACCGGCCACAUUGGGACUGAGAUACGGCCCAGACUCCUACGGGAGGCAGCAGUGGGGAAUAUUGCACAAUGGGCGCAAGCCUGAUGCAGCGACGCCGCGUGCGGGAUGACGGCCUUCGGGUUGUAAACCGCUUUUGAUCGGGAGCAAGCCUUCGGGUGAGUGUACCUUUCGAAUAAGCACCGGCUAACUACGUGCCAGCAGCCGCGGUAAUACGUAGGGUGCAAGCGUUAUCCGGAAUUAUUGGGCGUAAAGGGCUCGUAGGCGGUUCGUCGCGUCCGGUGUGAAAGUCCAUCGCUUAACGGUGGAUCUGCGCCGGGUACGGGCGGGCUGGAGUGCGGUAGGGGAGACUGGAAUUCCCGGUGUAACGGUGGAAUGUGUAGAUAUCGGGAAGAACACCAAUGGCGAAGGCAGGUCUCUGGGCCGUUACUGACGCUGAGGAGCGAAAGCGUGGGGAGCGAACAGGAUUAGAUACCCUGGUAGUCCACGCCGUAAACGGUGGAUGCUGGAUGUGGGGCCCGUUCCACGGGUUCCGUGUCGGAGCUAACGCGUUAAGCAUCCCGCCUGGGGAGUACGGCCGCAAGGCUAAAACUCAAAGAAAUUGACGGGGGCCCGCACAAGCGGCGGAGCAUGCGGAUUAAUUCGAUGCAACGCGAAGAACCUUACCUGGGCUUGACAUGUUCCCGACAGCCGUAGAGAUAUGGCCUCCCUUCGGGGCGGGUUCACAGGUGGUGCAUGGUCGUCGUCAGCUCGUGUCGUGAGAUGUUGGGUUAAGUCCCGCAACGAGCGCAACCCUCGCCCUGUGUUGCCAGCACGUCAUGGUGGGAACUCACGGGGGACCGCCGGGGUCAACUCGGAGGAAGGUGGGGAUGACGUCAGAUCAUCAUGCCCCUUACGUCCAGGGCUUCACGCAUGCUACAAUGGCCGGUACAACGGGAUGCGACACGGCGACGUGGAGCGGAUCCCUGAAAACCGGUCUCAGUUCGGAUUGGAGUCUGCAACCCGACUCCAUGAAGGCGGAGUCGCUAGUAAUCGCGGAUCAGCAACGCCGCGGUGAAUGCGUUCCCGGGCCUUGUACACACCGCCCGUCAAGUCAUGAAAGUGGGUAGCACCCGAAGCCGGUGGCCUAACCCUUUGUGGAUGGAGCCGUCUAAGGUGAGACUCGUGAUUGGGACUAAGUCGUAACAAGGUAGCCGUACCGGAAGGUGCGGCUGGAUCACCUCCUUU
rnacentral:rRNA from 1 species